rnacentral:rRNA from 1 species
CCCUUAGAUGUCCUGGGCUGCACGCGUGCUACAAUGAUACGUGCAACGAGUUAAUCCUGCUCUGAAAGGAGUGGGUAAUCUUAAGAAUGCGUAUCGUGCUUGGGAUUGACCAUUGUAAUUAUUGGUCAUGAACGAGGAAUUCCUAGUAAGCACAAGUCAUCAGCUUGUGCUGAUUACGUCCCUGCCCUUUGUACACACCGCCCGUCGCUCCUACCGAUUGAGUGUUCCGGUGAAUUAUUCGGACUGCAACAGUUAUCUGUCGCGGAAAGUCUUGUGAACCUUAACACUUAGAGGAAGGAAAAGUCGUAACA